rnacentral:sRNA from 1 species
ACUCAACGCUAUUCAAUUAGAAAGGGUGAGUCUCGGUUGUAAAAGCAUGCCGUUUCCGGUUUUUCCGGAUGAACGGAUCCUUGAUCAGCCGGUUAACCCUAAACUUGUUUUUUGGGAGUUU